rnacentral:rRNA from 1 species
AUUGAACGCUGGCGGCAGGCCUAACACAUGCAAGUCGAACGGUAACAGGAAGAAGCUUGCUUCUUUGCUGACGAGUGGCGGACGGGUGAGUAAUGUCUGGGAAACUGCCUGAUGGAGGGGGAUAACUACUGGAAACGGUAGCUAAUACCGCAUAACGUCGCAAGACCAAAAAGGGGGACCUUCGGGCCUCUUGCCAUCGGAUGUGCCCAGAUGGGAUUAGCUAGUAGGUGGGGUAACGGCUCACCUAGGCGACGAUCCCUAGCUGGUCUGAGAGGAUGACCAGCCGCACUGGAACUGGGACACGGUCCAGGCUCCUACGGGAGGCAGCAGUGGGGAAUAUUGCACAGUGGGCGCAAGCAUGAUGCAGCCGUGCCGCGUGUAUGAAGAAGGCCUUCGGGUUGUAAAGUACUUUCAGCGGGGAGGAAGGGAGUAAAGUUAAUACCUUUGCUCAUUGACGUUACCCGCAGAAGAAGCACCGGCUAACUCCGUG